CAUAAAGUACUGGAUGACAUCACAAUAGGUGGAGAUUCCUCCACAAUAGGUAGAGGUCACCAGCAUAGGUCAGAGGGGAUAUUGUAUGUAACUGGUGACAUUUGAAAGAGACAUAUUGGACAGAAAUGACAUACGUGAAAGCUAAGAUACAAUAUAUUUAAUUUUCUAAGAAUUCAGUUCAAGGUAGUCUGCCUGGUUUCUCAAGUUCUGCAUGUUUCUUCAGUAGACUAAAUAAUGAUAAGGAAGCUGAGAUGUAGAGCUGAAGUGUCUUGCCCAAGAUCAUUUGUCUAUUUUGCUAAUUUCUUUAAUAUCAGAAGACAGCUGGAUUCUCAUUUCUGCUUCUGCAUUCAGUCUAUUGUGAUAUAGCAUAUCAUGUAACUUCUGAAAAACUUCACUGUACACAGAUGCUGACCUCACAGACUCCCUGAAAGGAUCUCCAUGACCUCUAUGGUUCCUUAGACUGCACUUUGAGAACUAUUGACGUACAGGGAAAAAUGCUCUUGGUGUUCCAGUUAAGCACAGAAUAAAAUCUGGACUGUGUCAGUUUGUAAAGAUCUUAUGUCUACUUGGUCAUCAGCCAAGAAGGGAUUCCGAAGAUAGAAGAGGAGGCAUCAACACCGUGAACAUCAUGGCUGAGUUAUUUUGUGAGAGGGAUAAGCCUAAAGUAAAAACCUUGGAUUUGCCUCUGUCCUUGAACAUGCUAUCUGGAAAGAGUUUUCUUAAAAGUAUUGUUGUGAACACAUCCAUUUUCCCAGUAUAGUUGAAUGCAGGGUUUAAUAAAUGGAAUGAAUCUAGUUUUAGUUCCUGUACUGCUUGUGCUUUC
rnacentral:lncRNA from 1 species